UCAGGCAUGUGCAGUGAAAGAGAGAUAACACAGACGGGUAUCCGCUGAGGGAGGGACCUGUUCUUUGCUAUCUGUUCUCUCUGCUUCGUUUCGUUUUCCACUGUAAGCUGAAUGUUCUGUGUCCUGCCUGGUCUGCUUGUUUAGCUGUGAGUGAAUUCUCCAGGUUUGAUCAUGAGCACCCACCUUUGGACUUCCAUCCUGUUGCUCACCACCUGUGCAGGCUCUGUAUCUGCACAAUCUAGAAUCUUCAUGUCUGCUACAGUGGGUUCCUCAGCUCUUCUUCCAUGUGACUGGAGAAACAGAACCAGCCAGCCAAACUCCUCAUGUUGAGUGGAGAACCAUUUCUGAGACGGUGUUUGAGCGAAGGGGUGGGGAGCUGUAUCAGGGUGAGGGGUAUGAAGACCGUGUGGACGUUCCUGAAGAUCACCUGCUGAAGGGGGACUGUUCACUGGUGCUGAAGAACGUCAGACCUGAGGAUGCAGGAGUUUAUGAAAGUUUCCUGCUGGUGAGACGAAAGAAGAGAUCUCUGACUUCUAAAAGAGUCUUCCUCCAGAGCGUGGAGCUCUCAGUAGAUGAUGUUCCAGAGGAGAGUCACAGUGAAAAUAAAGCAGCAGCACGUAACGCAGGAAUAAUCCAGACUUCCUCACAGAUCACAGCGUUCAUCCUCCUCACAAACAUGUUAUUUCUUACCAUCUGAGGAAACACAAUGCAAGGACCCUUUUUCAGAAAUGCUAUCAGAUACUUUUGUUACCUGGGACAAAGAAUAUCAUUGGAGAAUGCACUAGAGAAAGCUACCCAGGGUUGCAAGCUCAUGGGGAAAGCUUUGAAGACCCUCUCUGUGGAUCACCACCUUGACGUGGUAGAGAGGCUUGCGCGAUCCUAAGAACCCACGAGCUAAACUGUCUGGAGCUCAAACAUGAGAGAAGUUGGAAGCUGCAGUCACUCAUGAGAGAAAGGUCGGCGGGGGGGUUACACGGUAAAGGUGAGCGAAGGCCUGUAUAUGUGAUGUGGAUUUCUCUUGGUGAAACUCCAAUGUGCACAUCCAACUCCAGUCAACUGCAUUUCUGAUUCUAUGCCACUGGCUGUCUGUUCUGUGCGUACACUGGAAAGAAAACAUUGUUUGUACACAGCCCUGGUUCUGUAAAUGGGAAACAAACAAAGAGGCUCAGACCGAACGACACAACACUAUUCCAGCGAAUCAGCCACAGGGGGCAUUCGUGCUCAUGCACAGGACAGUGGAAGGGAAGGGGCUACGUGCUGAGCUUCACACAGUGUCAGGAAGGAUAAAGAUGGCUGAGAAACAGCCAACGGAAAGAUCUGAAGAACAAAGAUUGAGGCGAGGGAGUUUCACCGGUGGAAAGACCUUUGAGAGUUGAUGAGGCUGAAGUUGACUUUCUAUUUACCAGCUUCUUUUUUGAAUUUUUCCAUUUGUUAGAAUUUUCCUGUUCUACCUUAACUGGUGCAGCAGUUACAUUCUGGCUCCUCUUGUUAGAAUUUUCCCAUUCCACCUUAAAUGGUGCAGCAGUUACAUUCUGGCUCCUCUUGUUCGAAUGUUCCCGUUCCACCUUAACUGGUGCAGCAUUUGAAUUCUGGCUCCUCUUAUUAGAAUUGUUCCAUUCCACCUUAGAUUUCAGCUUUAUUAAGAGGUGAAAGGCAUGGAGGGAGGCUGCUCUGUUUCUCUUUGACAGGAGGGUAACAUUACCUUAUUUUUGCUGUUUCACAGAAUUAAUAGGUCAGUACUGUUUGGUCCUGUUUGCUAAUGUUGGUCCGGUGAGCUUCACAGUAGCAAUCGUACCGAAAGUUUGCUAACCCACAACCGAGCUAACGUUACUUACAUUACUGGCUGCGUUGCUGUUCAAAUGUUUUAUCAUGGCGUUUGUCCGCACAGUGUUUCUGAAGGGUUUUAUGGCCACAAAGAUCUAAAAAAGUGUCAUUCGCCUCAGCAGUGCACAUCCAUGAAUUUGGGAGGCGGAGAUUCUGAAGGAGCACUCAAGGGAGGGGUGUAUUUGUUUUACUGUUGCCUUCAAAUAUCAACAAUCGUUCUCUAGAAUCACUUACUGCACCUUUAAACUGGCCUGUUGGAAUUAAUUGGAGUUAAUUUGUCUUAAAAUGUAAGAACAUUUUAAAGGUUAAUGUACAUUUUUAAGAUGCCACUGUUUUUA